UUCUCACACCAGUGGCGCUGUCUCAAACUAUACCUGCCUCUUCCGGGUUGUCUGAUUUGUCCUUGUGUUUUGUUCCUUGUGUAGUGUUUUCUGACUUGUUAUUUUGUUUUCAGAAUUGUGAUUUGUUUUGCACUUCUCAGCCACCGAAGUUCUGGGAUGCGGGUCGUGGUUGCUGUAACCGGGUGUGUGUUCGCAGGGACGGUCGUGUGCUGGGAGUGCUGGAAGUGUCUCGUUCCAUCGGUGACGGUCAGUAUAAACGCUGUGGAGUGAUUUCCACUCCGGACGUGCGGCGAUGUCAACUCAGUCCAAAUGACAGGUUUGUUCUGUUGGCGUGCGAUGGGCUUUUUAAAGUGUUUUCUGCAGACGAGGCCGUUCAGUUCAUCCUCAACAUUCUAGAGAAUGAGACUGUGGAGCAGAAGGAGGGGCAGAGUGAGGAGGCGGGAUUUGAGGCAGCUUGUCAGCGAUUGGCCAGUGAGGCUGUGAGGCGGGGCAGUGCGGACAAUGUCACUGUUAUUCUUGUCUCUAUUGAGUUCUGAAAUCAUUACACACACACACACACACACACACACACACACACACACACAAGCACACACACACACACA